rnacentral:rRNA from 1 species
UACGUAGGGUGCAAGCGUUAAUCGGAAUUACUGGGCGUAAAGCGUGCGCAGGCGGUUCUAUAAGACAGAUGUGAAAUCCCCGGGCUCAACCUGGGAACUGCAUUUGUGACUGUAGAGCUGGAGUGCGGCAGAGGGGGAUGGAAUUCCGCGUGUAGCAGUGAAAUGCGUAGAUAUGCGGAGGAACACCGAUGGCGAAGGCAAUCCCCUGGGCCUGCACUGACGCUCAUGCACGAAAGCGUGGGUAGCGAACAGG